rnacentral:rRNA from 1 species
GAGCACGUAGGUGGGUUUGUAAGUCAGAUGUGAAAGCCUUCUGUUCAACGGAAGAAUUGCAUCUGAAACUGCUGAUCUUGAGUAUAGGAGGGGAGAAUGGAACUUCUGGUGGAGCGGUGAAAUGCGUAGAUAUCAGAAGGAACGCCGGCGGCGAAAGCGAUUCUCUGGCCUAUUACUGACACUCAGUGUGCGAAAGCUAGGGGAGCAAACGGGAUUAGAUACCCCGGUAGUCCUAGCCGUAAACGAUGGGCACUAAGUAGAGGGGUUUU